AUUGAACGCUGGCGGUAGGCCUAACACAUGCAAGUCGAACGGCAGCACAGUAAGAGCUUGCUCUUACGGGUGGCGAGUGGCGGACGGGUGAGGAAUACAUCGGACUCUACUUUUUCGUGGGGGAUCACGUAGGGAAACUUACGCUAAUACCGCAUACGACCUACGGGUGAAAGCAGGGGAUCUUCGGACCUUGCGCGAUUGAAUGAGCCGAUGUCGGAUUAGCUAGUUGGCGGGGUAAAGGCCCACCAAGGCGACGAUCCGUAGCUGGUCUGAGAGGAUGAUCAGCCACACUGGAACUGAGACACGGUCCAGACUCCUACGGGAGGCAGCAGUGGGGAAUAUUGGACAAUGGGCGCAAGCCUGAUCCAGCCAUACCGCGUGGGUGAAGAAGGCCUUCGGGUUGUAAAGCCCUUUUGUUGGGAAAGAAAAGCAGCAGGUUAAUACCCCGCUGUUCUGACGGUACCCAAAGAAUAAGCACCGGCUAACUUCGUG
rnacentral:rRNA from 1 species